AGAGUUUGAUCCUGGCUCAGGAUUAACGCUGGCGGCAUGCCUAAUGCAUGCAAGUAGAACGAGAUAGUAGCAAUACUAUUUAGUUGCGAACGGCUGAGUAAUGGAUAGGAAUCUCCCCGAUGGCGUGGAAUACCUCAUCGAAAGAUGAGCUAAUACCGCAUGACCCCGCAAGGGAAAAGCGCUUAACUGCGCACCGACGGAUGAGCCUAUCUCCCAUCAGGCAGUUGGUAGGGUAAUGGCCUACCAAACCUAUGACGGGUACCCGCCCUGAGAGGGGAAACGGGCAGAAUGGGACUGAGACACGGCCCAUACACCUACGGGUGGCAGCAACAGGGAAUCGUGCGCAAUGGACGAAAGUCUGACGCCGCAAUGCCGCGUGGAGGAUGAAGGCCCUAGGGUCGUAAACUCCUUUUGCCAAACAGGAGAUGGUUUGGAGAAUAAGUGACUGCUAACUCUGUGCCAGCAGCCGCGGUAAUACAGAGGUCACAAGCGUUAUCCGGAUUUAUUGGGCGUAAAGCGUUUCGUAGGUGGGUUUAUAAGUUAUUUCUCAAAUCCCAAGGCUCAACCUUGGAAAGGGAGAUAAUACUGUAAGUCUUGAUUUUUGGUGGGGUAUCUGGAACUGAUGGUGUAGUAGUGAAAUACGUUGAUAUCAUCAGGAACUCCAAGGGCGAAGGCAGGAUACUAACCAAUUAAUGACACUGAGGAACGACAGCUAGGGGAGCGAAAGGGAUUAGAGACCCCUGUAGUCCUAGCCGUAAACUAUGCUCGCUAGGGAUGGGCCCGCAAGGGUUCGUCCCGUAAGCUAACGCGUUAAGCGAGCCGCCUGGGGAGUACGACCGCAAGGUUAAAACUCAAAGGAAUUGACGG
rnacentral:rRNA from 1 species